rnacentral:rRNA from 1 species
CCCGCACAAGCAGUGGAGUAUGUGGUUUAAUUUCGAAGCAACGCGAAGAACCUUACCUGGGCUCGAACGGCUUUUGCCGGUCUUGGAAACAAGACCUCUAUGCGGUUUUACCGUAUAGCGGAAGUCGAGGUGCUGCAUGGCUGUCGUCAGCUCGUGUCGUGAGAUGUUCGGUUAAGUCCGCUAACGAGCGCAACCCCUGUCCUUAGUUGCCAUCAGGUAAUGCUGGGAACUCUAAGGAAACUGCCCUGGUUAACGGGAGGAAGGUGGGGACGACGUCAAGUCAUCACGGCCUUUAUGUCCAGGGCUACACACGUGCUACAAUGGUCGGCACAAAGGGUUACCAACCCGCGAGGGGGAGCCAAUCCCAAAAAUCCGGCCUCAGUUCGGAUUGCAGUCUGCAACUCGACUGCAUGAAGUCGGAAUCGCUAGUAAUCGCGAAUCAGCAGGUCCGCGGUCGAAUACGUUCCGGGCCUU